rnacentral:rRNA from 1 species
UACAGAGGGCUCAAGCGUUGUUCGGAUUCAUUGGGCGUAAAGGGUGCGUAGGUGGCGGGGUAAGUCAGGUGUGAAAUCUCGAGGCUCAACCUCGAAACUGCACUUGAUACUGCCUUGCUCGAGUACUGGAGAGGAGAGUGGAAUUUACGGUGUAGCAGUGAAAUGCGUAGAUAUCGUAAGGAAGACCAGUGGCGAAGGCGAAUCUCUGGACAGUUACUGACACUGAGGCACGAAGGCCAGGGGAGCAAACGGG